UGUUUGUGCUAGGAGUUAACCGCUGUCUGCUUUAUUUGAUGAUUUCUUUUCUUUCUUUUUUUUUUUUUUAAAACCUUGUUUACACCUACUGUGUAUAACAGAUAUAUAUGUCUUGGUUUAAAAUUACGAGCUGUGUUAUUCAUCAAGAAUUCUGCUUGGUUUUGCAUACAUCCUUUUAUGAAAAUAUUCAGCAUGCCCGUCAGGGGGAACAGGAGAGGUGGGUGGCUGCCAGCCAUGGGCCUUCAGUGCAAGCACAGAGUCGUUUCAAACAGAUCAGCACACAGCUACUGUGCAAUGGAUUUGCCACUGGGACCUCAAGCAGAAGUGCUGGUGGCCCCGCCCUGGUGCUAGGUAGCCCUCUGUGUUCCACUUAGAGGGAAGAUGUGUGUCGCUCCUGUCUCCCAGCUGUCUAAGGGCCGACCCUCGUCACUUGGCACUGAGGAGGGAUGUGCUUAUAAGCAUGUCCCCUGCCUCCUUAGUGUCUUCACAAAGGGAAGCUGCUGUCUUCUGUCCUGCCAUCUUCCCAGAAGUGAGCUGGAAGUGACACAGACACACAGAUACGCAUGCUCAGCCCGCCCACCCAACAGCACAAGAAAAGAACUGCCCUGCCAGGGCCCUCAGAAGGCGUGGCUGUGCAAAGCAACAGGGCCAAGGCUGGAGAACCACUGCUUUCAAGUGAAUUGGGUAAAGAUAUGGCCUCUGGUUAUUAUUAUUACAGACCAGACUGUUAAUGGGGAAAGAAACACCUCACAUUACCUUCCUGGCCAAAGUUUUAAAAAUAAUAAUAAUAAUUGUCCAAAAGGGGACCCAGGAGUAGAUGGCUAGUCAUGGCUAGUCAUUAUCAGCUGUGUGGCCCAGGCUAGCAUCAGAAGUCACCGGGGACACCGGGUUCACAUGAUCUCCUGACAAUAGAUCACCGUAGAGAAGCAUAAGUGUUAUUUACUGGGCACUUCUAGACACACUAGACCAGGCCAGAAAUUAAAACACACUAUAAAACCUGCUACCAAACAUCUGUACAUAAACGAUGGCAGAUAGUUUAUAAGCAGCUAAACUAUGACCACAAAAUAGAAAUAACUCUUGCAUGGCUCUUAAGUUACUCUAGAUGGUUCCAAGGUGGGUCAAGUCCCUGGAUCCCUGCUGCCUGCUGCCUGCCACCCCCUACCCUGGGCUUCUAGAGCUGGCUGCUUGCUACAGCUCGGCUGUGGGCCCAGGUGUCACCCUUGCUGGGAUAGGAAUGUAGGGUGUGUUCAUGGUCCUGGGGUCUGGCUGCUCUUUGUCCUCAACACCUCUCAGAGCCGGUUUUACUGUGGCAUUGCUAAUAAAUAGCCUUUGUUUUCCUGGAGCACUUUCCAGAUUUGCUGACAAUCUGAUUUCUCUCUUUUCCCCUCUCCUUCCUUUGCCUCUCCCUUCAGUUGGCAGCACCUCUUCCUCACCAGCACUGUUAGGAAUCAGAGAGCCUCGCUCUGAAUACGAUAGGACCCAGCCACCUAUGCAGUAUUACAAUAGCCAAGGGGACACCACACAUAAAGGCCUGUACCCUGGUAAGAUGCCAGUUGGGUGUGUGAUGUGAUACCUGAAGGAGUCACCUCUCUGGGUGGCUCAGCCAGUGUCCUGGGAACAAGCCUAUGCUUAUGUCAGCUCGGUCGUAGCAGCAAACCACCCCAUUCCUUCUCCGCUGCUGUCAGGAUUGUUGCCCUCUCUGCUUGUCUUAAAUAAAUCGAGCUAAUAUAGUUAUACGAUGACCACAAAUUAAAGAGAGGGCUUAGCUCUGGUGAUCAUUUCUGGCUGCCCCGGGUUCCAAUCCCUUUGCUCUUGUCCCCCUUCUGCUCUGGCAAGAGUCCCUUGUACAUCAGAAGUGAGGGUCCCAUGUGGCUUCUCCUGAGUUACAAGUACUCUCCAGACUGGUUCAGCUCUAAGUUCACACUGACUGAUAACAGUCUAGUCCCUUGGGGGAAAAGAGUUUGAGUGGAUUGUAGAAUAUAUCAUAUGAUAGUCCUCAAGUGUGACUACCUUUAAGAACAAAAAUAUUAUUAUAGUGUUAAUACUUUUAUAUCCUGUUCAGAAAGAUAUGCAUGAAAAAUAUUUUAAUGUUGCUAGCCCAAAACAUAGUUGGUCCACUCUCAAAGAUUUAGGGAUUAAAACUACUCCUGAGGUUCCAAAGAAGCCAUGAGCUACUGCAAAAGAAAAAGUAUGUUUUCUUCAACAAGAAAGAAAAGAAAAGAGAUGGCAAAUAACCUAUUUAUU
rnacentral:lncRNA from 1 species